ACGGAAGGCAGCAGUGAGGAAUAUUGGUCAAUGGGCGGAAGCCUGAACCAGCCAAGUCGCGUGAAGGAUGAAGGUUCUAUGGAUUGUAAACUUCUUUUGCUCGAGGGUAAAGUGAUCUACGUGUAGGUUAUUGCAAGUAUCGAGUGAAUAAGCAUCGGCUAACUCCGUGCCAGCAGCCGCGGUAAUACGGAGGAUGCGAGCGUUAUCCGGAUUUAUUGGGUUUAAAGGGUGCGUAGGCGGGAGAUUAAGUCAGCGGUGAAAGUUUGCGGCUCAACCGUAAAAUUGCCGUUGAAACUGGUUCCCUUGAGUGUAAACGAGGUCGGCGGAAUGUAACGUGUAGCGGUGAAAUGCUUAGAUAUGUUACAGAACCCCGAUUGCGAAGGCAGCUUACCAGCAUACGACUGACGCUGAGGCACGAAAGCGUGGGUAUCAAACAGGAUUAGAUACCCUGGUA
rnacentral:rRNA from 1 species